rnacentral:rRNA from 1 species
UGAGCAAUCUGCCCUUCUCUUCGGAAUAAGCGUUGGAAACGACGUCUAAUGCCGAAUACGACCUCCUUUCGCAUGAUCGGAGGUGGAAAGCUCCGGCGGAGAAGGAUGAGCUCGCGGCCUAUCAGCUAGUUGGUGUGGGUAAUGGCCCACCAAGGCGACGACGGGUAGCCGGCCUGAGAGGGUGACCGGCCACACUGGGACUGAGACACGGCCCAGACUCCUACGGGAG